UUUGUUUUGGUAUAAUAUUUAUUACAUUACUUUUUCGUAGUAAAGAUAGUUUUAAACUAAACAAAU
rnacentral:tRNA from 1 species